GGGACAAUGGCUCAGUGGAAAGAGCCUGGGCUUGAGAGUCAGAGGUCAUGGGUUCGAAUCCCCGUUCCGCCA
rnacentral:tRNA from 1 species